AGCAAUUAUACCGUGAAACUGCGAAUGGCUCAUUAAAUCAGUUAUCGUUUAUUUGAUAGUACCUUACUACUUGGAUAACCGUGGUAAUUCUAGAGCUAAUACAUGCUGAAAACCCCAACUUCGGGAGGGGUGUAUUUAUUAGAUAAAAAACCAAUGCCCUUCGGGGCUCUUUGGUGAUUCAUGAUAACUUCUCGGAUCGCAUGGCCUUGCGCCGGCGACGGUUCAUUCAAAUUUCUGCCCUAUCAACUUUCGAUGGUAAGGUAUUGGCUUACCAUGGUUUCAACGGGUGACGGGGAAUUAGGGUUCGGUUCCGGAGAGGGAGCCUGAGAAACGGCUACCACAUCCAAGGAAGGCAGCAGGCGCGCAAAUUACCCAAUCCCGACACGGGGAGGUAGUGACAAUAAAUACUGAUACAGGGCUCUUUUGGGUCUUGUAAUUGGAAUGAGUACAAUUUAAACCUCUUAACGAGGAACAAUUGGAGGGCAAGUCUGGUGGACAUUCAGCUCCCAUUCUGCUGACGCCAGAGAUAGUCGGGCAUCCUCGCGACGCGGGGGUGUUACGCCGGCUAGUCGAGUACCUGCUGAUUGAUGGGAAGGUACCGGCAAGACAACCUGGAUCGGGGAAGGCUAAGGCAUCGAAGAUGCUAUGCUAAUCCCGAGCAGAGCUGCCACGGAGCGAUCCGUGGAUAGCCUGUGUAGAGCGCGGUAAGGUGUCGGCCAGCUCACGUAGUUGGCUUAAGGGACGUGCCAUUCCCAUCCGAAAGGGUGGCUGCCAGCAUGAGCGCCCAUCACGUAAGGGCUGGCAGGUUCGAACGCAUGCUUGCGCGAGGGAGUCGCGCUUCGCAGGCGUUCGAAAGUUUUCGCAAGCCGAAAGAAAGGCCAGCAGCCGCGGUAAUUCCAGCUCCAAUAGCGUAUAUUAAAGUUGUUGCAGUUAAAAAGCUCGUAGUUGAACCUUUGGCCUGGCUGGCAGGUCCGCCUCACCGCGUGCACUUGACCGGCCGGGCCUUCUUUCCUGGAGAACCGCAUGCCCUUCACUGGGUGUGCUGGGGACCAGGACUUUUACUUUGAAAAAAUUAGAGUGUUCAAAGCAGGCCUUUGCUCGAAUACGUUAGCAUGGAAUAAUAGAAUAGGACGUGCGGUCUUAUUUUGUUGGUUUCUAGGACCGCCGUAAUGAUUAAUAGGGACAGUCGGGGGCAUCAGUAUUCAAUUGUCAGAGGUGAAAUUCUUGGAUUUAUUGAAGACUAACUACUGCGAAAGCAUUUGCCAAGGAUGUUUUCAUUAAUCAGUGAACGAAAGUUAGGGGAUCGAAGACGAUCAGAUACCGUCGUAGUCUUAACCAUAAACUAUGCCGACUAGGGAUCGGGCGGUGUUUCUUUCUUGACUCGCUCGGCACCUUACGAGAAAUCAAAGUGUUUGGUUCUGGG
rnacentral:rRNA from 1 species